GAAUGUGAGGGUGAUCUGGCUGUGACAUCUGUCACCCCACGGAUCGCCAGAGUUGAUUCGGCUGAUAUGGCUGGCUAGGCCGGUGUCUCCUUCCUCCCUCAUUGCUACAUGUGCAUCUGGAAGCUGUGCGCUAGGUCAAAGAGGACGGCCUUCCCCGAAUAAAGACCUCCAA
rnacentral:snRNA from 1 species